rnacentral:rRNA from 1 species
AUACGUAGGUGGCAAGCGUUGUCCGGAAUCACUGGGUGUAAAGGGCGUGUAGGCGGAGCGGUAAGUCAGAAGUGAAAUCUCGGGGCUUGACCCGGAAACUGCUUUUGAAACUGUCGCCCUUGAGUAUCGGAGAGGCAGGCGGAAUUCCUCGUGUAGCGGUGAAAUGCGUAGAUAUUAGGAGGAACACCAGUGGCGAAGGCGGCCUGCUGGACGACAACUGACGCUGAGGCGCGAAAGCGUGGGGAGCAAACAGGAUUAGAUACCCUGGUAGUCCACGCCGUAAACGAUGGAUACUAGGUGUGGGGGGACUGACCCCUUCCGUGCCUCAGUAAACACAAUAAGUAUCCCACCUGGGGAGUACGACCGCAAGGUUGAAACUCAAAGGAAUUGACGGGG